AGCAUAUCAAUAAGCGGAGGAGAAGAAACUAACAAGGAUUCCCCCAGUAACGGCGAGUGAACAGGGAUUAGCCCAGCGCUGAAUCCCCUGGCCUCCUGCUGCCAGUGGGAAAUGUGGCGUUACGGACGUCUUACUGUGGCGUGGGUUGGGCGACUAAGUCCCCCUGAUAGGGGCUUUACCCAGAGCGGGUGUUAGGCCCUUAUCGUUGCGUAUUAACCCAUGUCACUGUGGGCGUCUAUGGAGUCGGGUUGCUUGAGAAUGCAGCCCAAAGUGGGUGGUAAACUCCAUCUAAGGCUAAAUACCUGCACGUUUCCGAUAGUCAACAAGUACCGUGAGGGAAAGUUGAAAAGAACUUU
rnacentral:rRNA from 1 species